rnacentral:rRNA from 1 species
GCCUAAAGUCAUACUACCCUGAACACUCCCGAACUUGUCUGAUCUUGAAAGCUAAGCAGGGUCAGGCCUGGUUACUACUUGGAUGGGAGACCACCUGAGAAUAUAGGAUGUUGUAGGCU